rnacentral:tRNA from 1 species
GCCUCUGUAGCUCAACGGACAGAGCGCCCGCUUGCGGAGCGGGAGGCACCAGGUUCGACUCCUGGUAGAGGCA